rnacentral:rRNA from 1 species
AGCAGUAGGGAAUCUUCCACAAUGGACGCAAGUCUGAUGGAGCAACGCCGCGUGAGUGAAGAAGGGUUUCGGCUCGUAAAGCUCUGUUGGUAGUGAAGAAAGAUAGAGGUAGUAACUGGCCUUUAUUUGACGGUAAUUACCUAGAAAGUCACGGCUAACUACGUGCCAGCAGCCGCGGUAAUACGUAGGUGGCAAGCGUUGCCCGGAUUUAUUGGGCGUAAAGCGAGUGCAGGCGGUUCAAUAAGUCUGAUGUGAAAGCCUUCGGCUCAACCGGAGAAUUGCAUCAGAAACUGUUGAACUUGAGUGCAGAAGAGGAGAGUGGAACUCCAUGUGUAGCGGUG